GUACAAGCAGUAGGAGCCCACUUGUUGGGUGACUGCGUACCUUUUGUAUAAUGGGUCAGCGACUUAAUUUUAGUAGCAAGGUUAACCGUUUAGGGGAGCCGUAGGGAAACCGAGUCUUAACUGGGCGAAAUAGUUGCUAGGAUUAGACCCGAAACCGAGUGAUCUAGCCAUGGGCAGGUUGAAGGUGAGGUAACACUUACUGGAGGACCGAACCGACUAAUGUUGAAAAAUUAGCGGAUGACUUGUGGCUAGGGGUGAAAGGCCAAUCAAACUCGGAGAUAGCUGGUUCUCCCCGAAAGCUAUUUAGGUAGCGCCUCGGACGAAUACUACUGGGGGUAGAGCACUGUUAAGGCUAGGGGGUCAUCCCGACUUACCAACCCUUUGCAAACUCCGAAUACCAGUAAGUACUAUCCGGGAGACACACGGCGGGUGCUAACGUCCGUCGUGAAGAGGGAAACAACCCAGACCGCCAGCUAAGGUCCCAAAGUUAUAGCUAAGUGGGAAACGAUGUGGGAAGGCUCAGACAGCCAGGAUGUUGGCUUAGAAGCAGCCAUCAUUUAAAGAAAGCGUAAUAGCUCACUGGUCGAGUCGGCCUGCGCGGAAGAUUUAACGGGGCUAAGCUAUACACCGAAGCUGCGGCAAUGAAGUUUACUUCAUUGGGUAGGGGAGCGUUCUGUAAGCCGUUGAAGGUGAAUCGUAAGGUUUGCUGGAGGUAUCAGAAGUGCGAAUGCUGACAUGAGUAACGAUAAAGGGAGUGAAAAACUCCCUCGCCGG
rnacentral:rRNA from 1 species